UAAGGAAUAUUGGUCAAUGGACGGAAGUCUGAACCAGCCAUGCCGCGUGAAGGAAGAAGGCCCUACGGGUUGUAAACUUCUUUUACCAGGGGAGAAAUCUCCUCAUUUAUGAGGAGUUGACGGUACCUGGGGAAUAAGCACCGGCUAACUCCGUGCCAGCAGCCGCGGUAAUACGGAGGGUGCAAGCGUUAUCCGGAAUCACUGGGUUUAAAGGGUGCGUAGGCGGUUUGAUAAGUCAGUGGUGAAAGCUCAUCGCUCAACGAUGAAAUUGCCAUUGAUACUGUCAGACUUGAAUUAGGAUAAGGUAAGCGGAAUGUGGCAUGUAGCGGUGAAAUGCAUAGAUAUGCCAUAGAACACCAAUUGCGAAGGCAGCUUACUGGGCCUUGAUUGACGCUGAGGCACGAAAGCGUGGGGAUCAAACAG
rnacentral:rRNA from 1 species